rnacentral:rRNA from 2 species
AUGAAGAACGUAGCGAAAUGCGAUACUUGGUGUGAAUUGCAGAAUCCCGUGAACCAUCGAGUCUUUGAACGCAAGUUGCGCUUGAAGCCAUUAGGCUAAAGGCACGUCUGCCUGGGCGUCACGC